rnacentral:rRNA from 1 species
GUGCCAGCMMGCCGCGGUAAUACGUAGGGUGCGAGCGUUGUCCGGAAUUACUGGGCGUAAAGAGCUCGUAGGUGGUUUGUCGCGUUGUUCGUGAAAUCUCACGGCUUAACUGUGAGCGUGCGGGCGAUACGGGCAGACUAGAGUACUGCAGGGGAGACUGGAAUUCCUGGUGUAGCGGUGGAAUGCGCAGAUAUCAGGAGGAACACCGGUGGCGAAGGCGGGUCUCUGGGCAGUAACUGACGCUGAGGAGCGAAACKKGGGGAGCGAACAGGAUUAGAUACCCUGGUAGUCCACGCCGUAAACGGUGGGUACUAGGUGUGGGUUUCCUUCCUUGGGAUCCGUGCCGUAGCUAACGCAUUAAGUACCCCGCCUGGGGAGUACGGCCGCAAGGCUAAAAACUCAAAGGAAUUGACGGGGGCCCGCACAAGCGGCGGAGCAUGUGGAUUAAUUCGAUGCAACGCGAAGAACCUUACCUGGGUUUGACAUGCACAGGACGCGUCUAGAGAUAGGCGUUCCCUUGUGGCCUGUGUGCAGGUGGUGCAUGGCUGUCGUCAGCUCGUGUCGUGAGAUGUUGGGUUAAGUCCCGCAACGAGCGCAACCCUUGUCUCAUGUUGCCAGCGGGUAAUGCCGGGGACUCGUGAGAGACUGCCGGGGUCAACUCGGAGGAAGGUGGGGAUGACGUCAAGUCAUCAUGCCCCUUAUGUCCAGGGCUUCACACAUGCUACAAUGGCCGGUACAAAGGGCUGCGAUGCCGUAAGGUUAAGCGAAUCCUUUUAAAGCCGGUCUCAGUUCGGAUUGGGGUCUGCAACUCGACCCCAUGAAGUCGGAGUCGCUAGUAAUCGCAGAUCAGCAACGCUGCGGUGAAUACGUUCCCGGGCCUUGCACACACCGCCCGUC